CACUUGAUAGCAUAUGGUGUGCACUUGCUUCCGCAAAUAGCUGUAAUGACACACAUGAAGUUGAACAGACAAAGAGGCCCCGGUUCGAUUCCGGGUUGAGUGA